rnacentral:rRNA from 1 species
UACGGAGGGUGCAAGCGUUAUCCGGAUUUACUGGGUUUAAAGGGUGCGCAGGCGGAUAUGUAAGUCAGUGGUGAAAUCUUCCCGCUUAACGGGAAAACUGCCAUUGAUACUAUAUAUCUUGAAUGCUGUGGAGGUAAGCAGAAUAUGUCAUGUAGCGGUGAAAUGCUUAGAGAUGACAUAGAAUACCCAUUGCGAAGGCAGCUUACUACGCAGAUAUUGACGCUCAUGCACGAAAGCGUGGGGAUCAAACAGG